GAGUAAAAAAAAAACAAUAACCUAUCGUAUCUGUUUCAUCAUCAUUAAUUUUCGUUUUCAUAAAUCUCUGUUUCUAUAUCAGCAGGCGUAUUAUGGAUGGCUUUACCCGUGUGAUAAAAUAAGUGUCACUUUUUAAAUAAAAGAACUAAAUUAAAAAUAUAUAUAUGCUGUCUAAGGCUGUCACGCAGACAAAUAACAACGAUCAUACCAGUACUGGGAAUGUGGCCAAGGUGCUAUUUGUUAACGCUUCGUAGCGAACGAAACGCAACGGUCACUAUCGCAAUAAUAUGAAAGAGUGAUAGAGAGAGAUGACUACACAACGCUACGGAGCGUUAACGAUGGCACGUUGGCUAAGCACCCUAAUAUCUUUGACUAAAAUGUUACACCGUACGGAUGGACUGACGGACUUAAGAGCUAUAGAAAAAGAUCGAUGUUUAAAAAUAGGUCCAUAUAACUAUGGACAAAACUUAAAAUUGUUUUUUAAAUUUUAAUAGAAGGUUCAAUCUUUUUGCCUAUUGCACUUAUCUGUCUUCGUUCACUAGUGCAGUUAUGACCAAAAUAUUUUGCACAUUUCUAGUACUCAUUUCUGUCUCUCAUAAAAAACACUCGUCAGCAUUUCAUUAACCUUAAUAUAUUUUUGUUGCAGGAACUCAAAACUGCAAAAGAAAAUACAAAUAAAAAACACAGCAGGGACGCAAGGAACGUGCCAUGGCAACAUUAUAGAAAUCACUCCGGGUGAGGUUUCCGCUGCCGCUUAUGACUGAACUGCCGGCAAUGUCGGACCUCGAACCGUGACAGCGUAAAGCGGGUCCGGCCGCUUACCCCGCUCAGCCACAAAUAGAUACUAUAAAGUAUAUGGUAUAUGUAUACCAAUGGAGGUACGACAGAAUUAUUAGCUCGAUGAAACUGAACUCACGCAGCCACCUGCAAAAACUAAUAAACAAUAGAAAAAAAGAUUCCAGAUGGGUUGGGGCUGCAUCAAAAAUUAAAAGCCUUUUAAUGACGACCGCCUGCCUCCGGCGAUGACUGCUGUCUGCAAUACGGAUUCAACAAUACUAUUUUAAUUUUAAUAUAUAUCAUAUCAUUUGUUCAGUAAUAAUCAUACAUUGUCAUUGGCAUAUAUGUCACUUAAGGAAA